CCGGAAGCGGGCGUGCGGCGCGCAGGUGGAGGAGGCGCCCGGGGAGGCAGGUGCUGGGGCGCUCACCUCGGGGAGAGCGGGGACGAAAACGUCAGUGUUUUAGAGGCAAACGAGGGAUCUGGGAUACGACAUUGACAGGGACUAUUCCAGAACUUUGAACAUGAUAUUCACAUUUUUGAAAGUCUGGAAAACUCAAUAAUAGAACUGAAAUUAUGGUUCUUCAGCUAAAUGACGAUCUGCAGAGAAGCAAGGUACUAGAGGGCAAGGUGCCUGUAUUUACUCCAUGGACACUCUGUCCCCAAGUUAUCAGGAACAUUGUGUUGCUAAAUUUAUGAGACAUUUUUCAGUCCUAGCCUUACUUGAUUAUUUUGUAGCUAUUUGAUAAUGUUGAAUGCUUCUGUAACAUUGAAACUCUCUUGGCCUUGGAUUUCACAAGUCUGCCCGGCUACCACCA